GGGAGAGGCUGUGGACCACGCUGUACAGUGGUGCGGGUGGUGCUCCCUUGCACCAAUUCCUCCGUCGGCACCAACAUAAGGCCGGGAUGGGAGCCAGGGCCUCGCGGACAAGUCACACUUCUCGCUGCAGGAGGAGGCCCUCACACCUGCCAUGAGACUUCCCCACCCAACAGAGCCAAGGGGGAUUACGACACUGCUGCUGCGUCUGCUACCGCUGCUCCCUGGG